GACAAAGGAUGCAAGCGUUAUCCGGAAUGAUUGGGCGUAAAGCGUAUGUAGGUGGCUUUUUAAGUCCGCCGUCAAAUCCCAGGGCUCAACCCUGGACAGGCGGUGGAAAGUACCAAGCUGGAGUACGGUAGGGGCAGAGGGAAUUUCCGAUGGAGCGGUAAAAUGCGUAGAGAUCGGAAAGAACACCAACAGCGAAAGCACUCUGCUGGGCCGACACUGACACUGAGAGACGAAAGCUAGGGGAGUGAAUAGG
rnacentral:rRNA from 1 species